rnacentral:tRNA from 1 species
UCCGGGGUGGCCGAUAGGUAAGGCAGCGCCCUGUUAAGGCGUCCCAUGUGGGUUCGAAUCCCACCCCCGGAG